CUUCCUUUUCUUGAUGGGGACUGGUUGUGUAGUCCCACUCCCCACUAUGUACAGAGGCAGAGGGAAAGGGUUCUGGCCCCCUUGGUGUCAUGUCUUUGGUGCCAGCAGCUUCCUGUCCACCGGUUCUAUCCUCAAGCACCGAGACACCU
rnacentral:snoRNA from 1 species